GGUCCCCUCAUGGCGUGGGGAGGAGAGCCGCGAGGUCCCGCGGGGGGACGCCGAGGGCUUGGGGAUCCCUCAUGGUGGUGCCUGGGUCUGGGUCACCUCAUGGCGUGUGGAGGAGGACUGUGGUGUCCCCUCAGGGUGCUGUGUGGGUCUGGGUCCCCUCAUGGCGUGGUGAGGAGGACUGUAUGGUCCCUUAUAGGGACCCUGAGGGAUUGGGGUCCCCUCAGGGUGCUGUGUGGGUCUGGGUCCCCUCAUGGUGUUGCCUGGGUCUGGGUCACCUCAUGGCGUGGUGAGGAGGACCGUGGUGUCCCUGGUGGGGACCUUGAAGGAUUGGGGUCUCCUCAGGGUGCUGUGUGGGUCUGGGUCCCCUCAUGGUGUUGCCUGGGUCUGAGUCACCUCAUGGCAUGGUGAGGAGGACCGUGAGGUCCUUUAUGGGAACCCGGAGGGAUUGGGGUCCCCUCAUGGUGUGGUGAGGAGGACUGUAUGGUCCCUUAUGGGGACCCUGAGGGAUUGGGGUCCCCUCAGGGUGCUGUGUGGAUCUGGGUCUCCCUUCAUGGUGUAGUGAGGAGGGCGUUUGGUUCCCUCAUGGUGCCAUGUGGGGUCUUUGGGGGUCCCUCAUGUUGCCAUUUGGGGUCUUUGGGGGUCCCUCAUGGUGCCAUGUGGGGGGUUUCACUCCCUUCAUGGUGCCAUGUCAGGUCUUUGGGGUCCUCUCAUGGUGUGGGGGAAGGACCGUGGCAUCCCUCAUGGGGGUCUUUGGGUCUGUCAGGAAAAUUUGCAACUGACCAAGGUGAGCAUCGGUCAGUUUCCAGUUCCUGUGACAGAUGCCCCCUCCCCAGGUCUCCCAGGUCUCCCUGCCCCUCCACAUUCUCCGCUGGUGCUCGAUGCUGGUUUUCCACCGGCACAAACGAGCUGAGCGGGAUGGAGCGUUGCCCGCUGGCGCUGGGGUUAGGUCAGGAUCAGGCCCCAUGGCUUUGUGGGCAUGAAGCUGGCAGGGGAGAUGAAAGCGUGUCUGCUGGAACCCACACGAACCCUUCCGCUGGCCUCAGCAGGUUUUUGCAACACUUUUAAUAGCAAAACCCCAGUCCCGUGGGUGGUGGUGACUUUACUGGGGUAAGAUGUGACCUUGGUGCUGAGGUCCCAAGCAUCCUUUUGGUAUCCACAGCUUUGCAGCUCUGGAAAAACACAAGGAAAAGCGAUGAUCCCUUGCCAAAUAACCCUUGUUCCCUUGGCUCUCCAUAGACAGAGGUGGCAGCUGUUCCCAAAUGAGGUGUCACCAAAACACAGGGUGGGGUCUCACCACAUUUUCAUGGUCCCUCAGGAACUUUAAUGGUCGAAACAGGAGAAAAAACUCCUUCUCUCCGCCGGAGGGCUCAGGGCAAGCGCUCCCUACAGCUGCCAGGCAAUGACAUCUCAGCGCCGGUCUCAUGAUUGCUGCUAAUGCCACAAAGAACCCUUAUUGUAUUAGCAUCUCGACGCAGCAUUAGACUAAUCCCUCCGGCCCGCGUCGUGCAGGCUGUUCAGAGAGCCUUGCUCCAGCGCCCUGCCAGCCAGCAUAUGCCUGGGAAGUCACCGAGACCUUUUCAGCUUGAACAUACGCUUGGCCCCGAGCCAUUCUGCCUUAUCCUCGUGACUCUGGCUUUUGUUGACAGGGGGAGAAAGUCACCGGUGAUCUGUCACUGGGGCAUCGUGCGAGCUGAUCCGCUCUGCUCCGCUCCCCGACGCCGGCUGAUGGUGGGGAACUGAAAUGUGAAUUCCAGCACAGCCACGGGCGCUGCUGGCAACCGGCGUGAGGAGACACGGCGUGGCUGGGAUGGCGGUGGUGUGGUGGCUUCUCGUGGGGGCUCCUAAAGGAGCUGGGCUGUAAUUCCCUUCUCCCCACCCUCUCCAGCAGAUUAUCUGGAGUAAUGCAAAUGCAACGUUUAAUAUUAGUCUGUAGCUCAAGGAAGGGGAGUGAUUUCUGAUGCCAGAUUAGAAGCCAGACAUGGGCCUGCCUGCCUGCCUGGGAGCGAGCAGAGCUGUCACGCUGGGUUAUUUCACAAGGCAAGCGGUUCUGCUGCCAGAUGACGACAGCCUGUGCAUGAACAUCACCAUAACAAACUGCCUGAUGGAAGAGGGCCCAUCGGCCCCAGCGCCCUGCGGGACACCACCGCCAUCGCGUCAUCGCCCCUGAAAGGCGGCUGUUUUGGGGCAGAGGCAAAAGCAACCCCCUCCUUGCCCUCCCAAGCUCCAGAAGCCAGAACGAAGCAGUUCCAAAUUUUUAUUUAUUUAUUUAUUUUUAAAUACCCAGCUUACUGGAUUGUGCUGCAUGUUUUGCAUAUUUAAACUACUGGCUGAAUUAUUUAGAGGUGUUGCAAGUGUCAGCUGCAGGUAGUCUCGCUGAGUGGGGUCCAGAGACAGCAGCAGGACUGAGCACCCAGCACUGGAUUCCCUGCCCUGUUGAGGGUGCGUGGGGCAUCCCAGGGGCCUCAAAAACCUGCCUUGAAAAACUACCUCCAAAAGGUAAAAAGAGCACUAACGGCAAAGCCCGGUGAGCAGGAGGGGCCUCACAGCGUUGCUGGUGGCAAGAUUUCUGUGGCUGGGUCCACGAAAAGUCGUAAAGCCCAGAAUGUUACCUUUGGCCUUAGUUUUCUGAUGUCUUAUAGUAACCUGGCUGUGUUUUUUUUUUAUCUUUUAUUUUCCUUAAUUUAUUGCUUCCCUUGGAAACAACAUGUGACCUCGCUUUCGAUGACUAGCUUCUGACUGGGAAAGGAGCGGAGCCGGAGGAGAACAUCUCCCACGCGUGCGGGGAGAAGCUGGCUUUCAGAGAUGUCUCGGAGCCUGGUGUCACCUCUGUGUAGCUCGGGGUACGUGAAACAGCCCAGCACCACGACACAGCUGUAGUUACGCUGCUGGAGCUUGGUCCCACACGGGGCUACAGACCAGGAACCUGGACCAUCUUUGCAUGGGCUUGGCCAAAAGCAGGAGGCAGCGAAAAUAAUGAGGCUGGAAGAUCUUGCUGUUGCAUCUGCAUUUGUACAGCCAGGCUGGAAAUCCCCCUGCGCCUGAUGUUCUCUGCAGGACAUCACACCACCUGCCCCGGGCCAGGCCCUGAGUGAAAACGAGAGUGACCCGAGCACAGGACCCAGCCUGGAAAACAGCAUCUCCUCUGGCUGCAGCUCUCCAGCUCCUCAGGCCCAAGGCUUUCACAUAGGAAUUACUUUCUUUUUUUUCUUUUUUUCUUUUUUUUUUUUCCCAGUUGCAAUGGGAGUAGGC